rnacentral:lncRNA from 1 species
CGGCGCGUCGCGGUUUUCAGGGCUGAUUCGGUGUUCCAGUUGGACCCGAUGCGGGGGCCAUUCGCAUGCUGUUCGCGAGGUUUGAACGGGCUGGCAGCGUGGAUGAUGAUCGAAGGGGAAAUGUUUGGCCUGGGCGGGCUGUGGCCGCUCCUGGGGGUGCAGCCGAGGUUUCAGGAGUUGUUCGGCGGGGUCCUGGGGGGGGCAUCCGACGGAUUGCAUCGGAGGCAGGUUUGGGGUGCACGAGCGCGCGGAAGAUUUUAAAUGGUGGCCAGCGGCUGUUUACAAUCGGGAUCCAGGCACGUCGGGC